rnacentral:tRNA from 3 species
GGGCGAUUAGCUCAGUCGGUUAGAGCGCUUCUCUGAUAAGGAAGAGGUCCCUGGUUCGAGUCCAGGAUCGCCCA